rnacentral:ncRNA from 2 species
UAUAAUCUUCAGGGCAGGGUGACUAAGAAAUUAGGAUUCCCGACCGGCGGUAUAGCCCGCGAGCCAUUUUAUGGCAGAUUCGGUGUAACUCCGAAGCCGACAGUAAAGUCUGGAUGAAAGAAGAAAUAU